AAUUCUAUUUAGUAGUGAGAUAUACAAUGAUCUCUAUCAUUAUAUCAUUGAAACUCUUUUCAAUGGAUCGGAAUAAUUUUACUCUAACUCAACAAGGAUUGUCGAUUCAGAACAACCUUAGUGAGCUCUCACAAUCUACUAGUGACAUCUAGCAGUAUAUGGUAGCAAUCCAGUAGAACUGAAAUAAACCUCUAGGUGUAGUUAAUGUAUAAUUCAGUCCUUCUAUCGUGAGUCCCAACUAGAUGGAAGGUCGUGGAUAAAUCGUCAAACCUCAACAUCGAUCAUAUGAUAGAUUCAAUCAGCGUA
rnacentral:lncRNA from 1 species